rnacentral:rRNA from 1 species
GACGAACGCUGGCGGCGUGCUUAACACAUGCAAGUCGAACGGAAAGGCCCUGCUUUGUGGGGUGCUCGAGUGGCGAACGGGUGAGUAACACGGGAGUAACCUGCCCCUGACUUUGGGAUAACUUCAGGAAACUGGGGCUAAAACCGGAUAGGAGCCCCUGCUGCAGGGUGGGGGUUGGAAAGUUUCGGCGGUUGGGGAUGGACUCGCGGCUUAUCAGCUUGUUGGUGGGGUAGUGGCUUACCAAGGCUUUGACGGGUAGCCGGCCUGAGAGGGUGACCGGCCACAUUGGGACUGAGAUACGGCCCAGACUCCUACGGGAGGCAGCAGUGGGGAAUAUUGCACAAUGGGCGGAAGCCUGAUGCAGCAACGCCGCGUGCGGGAUGACGGCCUUCGGGUUGUAAACCGCUUUCGCCUGUGACGAAGCGUGAGUGACGGUAAUGGGUAAAGAAGCACCGGCUAACUACGUG